AAAAAAUUAGUUAAAAUAUAACAUUAGUAUGUCAAACUAAAAUUAUCAAAAUUUUGAUAUUUUUUA
rnacentral:tRNA from 1 species